CCUGGCCUACGGGGCGCAGCAGUAGGGAAUCUUCCACAAUGGGCGAAAGUCUGAUGGAGCAACGCCGCGUGAGUGAAGAAGGGUUUCGGCUCGUAAAGCUCUGUUGGUAGGGAAGAAAGAUAGAGGUAGUAACUGGCCUUUAUUUGACGGUAAUUACUUAGAAAGUCACGGCCAACUACGUGCCAGCAGCCGCGGUAAUACGUAGGUGGCAAGCGUUGUCCGGAUUUAUUGGG
rnacentral:rRNA from 1 species